AUUAACUUUUUAGAGUAAAAAUAUGAUUUUUCGUUAAAGUAAACAGUACCGGAAGUUUUUCAUUAAAGCUCUUAUAAUAAAAAAGAAUUACAAGGAAGAAACAACGGAUGAAUCAAGGAUACAAGUAGUGGUGGGAAAAAUAUGGAAGAAAUGCACACGAAAUAAUACACAAUUUUGAAACUAAAAACAAUUUUGGUGUUCUUUCUCUGUCAUUCUAUGUAGAUUUAUAAAUGUUUUAUCUACUCUACCAAUCUCUAUAUCUUAACAAAAAAAAAAAAAAAAAAGAUUUGCAAAGGGGGCUUAAUUAGUUAAUUAGUUUUUAUUAAGUAAUCGUUUAUCUUAAUUUAACCUCUCUAGUCUCGAGAAUCAUUAUUCAAUAAAAGAGAGAACGUUAUGUCAUAAUCAUUUCAUAGUAUUCUAUAUGUUGUAGUCUUAUUAAUUUA
rnacentral:lncRNA from 1 species